rnacentral:rRNA from 1 species
GGUGAGUAACACGUGGGCAACCUGCCCUGCAGAUCGGGAUAACUCCGGGAAACCGGUGCUAAUACCGAAUAGUUUGCGGCCUCUCAUGAGGCUGUACGGAAAGACGGUUUCGGCUGUCACUGCAGGAUGGGCCCGCGGCGCAUUAGCUAGUUGGUGGGGUAACGGCCCACCAAGGCGACGAUGCGUAGCCGACCUGAGAGGGUGAUCGGCCACACUGGGACUGAGACACGGCCCAGACUCCUACGGGAGGCAGCAGUAGGGAAUCUUCCGCAAUGGACGAAAGUCUGACGGAGCAACGCCGCGUGAGUGAAGAAGGUUUUCGGAUCGUAAAACUCUGUUGUGAGGGAAGAACAAGUACCAAGUAACUACUGGUACCUUGACGGUACCUCACCAGAAAGCCACGGCUAACUACGUGCCAGCAGCCGCGGUAAUACGUAGGUGGCAAGCGUUGUCCGGAAUUAUUGGGCGUAAAGCGCGCGCAGGCGGUCCUUUAAGUCUGAUGUGAAAGCCCACGGCUCAACCGUGGAGGGUCAUUGGAAACUGGGGGACUUGAGUGCAGAAGAGGAAAGUGGAAUUCCACGUGUAGCGGUGAAAUGCGUAGAGAUGUGGAGGAACACNCANGUNGGNCNGAAGGCGACUUUCUGGUCUGUAACUGACGCUGAGGCGCGAAAGCGUGGGGAGCAANCAGGNAUUUAGAUACCCUGGUAGUCCACGCCGUAAACGAUGAGUGCUAAGUGUUAGGGGGUUUCCGCCCCUUAGUNGCUGCAGCUAACGCAUUAAGCANCUCCGNCCUGGGGNAGUACGGNCCGCAAGGCUGAAACUCAAAGGAAUUNGACNGGGGGCCCGCNACNAAGCNGGUGGAGCAUGNUGGUUUAAUUCGAAGCAACGCGAAGAACCNUUACCAGGUCUUGACAUCCCGCNUGACCGCCUUGGANGANCAANGGCUUUCCCUUCGGGGACANGCGGNUGANCAGGUGGUGCAUGGUUGUCGUCAGCUCGUGUCGUGAGANUGUUGGGUUAAGUCCCGCAACGAGNCGCAACCCUUGAUCUUAGUUGCCAGCNAUUCAGUUGGGCACUCUAAGGUGACUGCCGGUGACAAACCGGAGGAAGGUGGGGAUGACGUCAAAUCAUCAUGCCCCUUAUGACCUGGGCUACACACGUGCUACAAUGGACGGUACAAAGGGUCGCGAACCCGCGAGGGGGAGCCAAUCCCAGAAAACCGUUCUCAGUUCGGAUUGCAGGCUGCAACUCGCCUGCAUGAAGCCGGAAUCGCUAGUAAUCGCGGAUCAGCAUGCCGCGGUGAAUACG